UCCACUUAAGACGUGAUGUACAAGGACAACAGUCUACAUUGUGAAGCAUGCGAAAUGAAGAUGAUAGUAAAAAUGGGACCAUGAGGACAGUGGCAGUGGUAAUGCAGGAGGCGGAGCUUCACCUCCUCUGUUGUAACCGUGCUGGACUUUGGCUUCUGAGGGUGCAGCUCAGGUGGCAUGUUGACCAUGAAGAGUGAGCUUCCAGACAGUCAGAAAGAUGGCUUAUACUACAUAUAAUUUAUUAUCUCUCGUUAACUUUUAACAUACUCUCAGGACAUUAUUAAGAGCCAGUGUUUAUGCAUUAUUUUUAUCAUACAUUUUCAGCUAUACAGUUUACAACAGGUCAACCUGUUUUUCACAAGUUAACAAAAAGGCUAUUGC